CCAGACUCCUACGGGAGGCAGCAGUGAGGAAUAUUGGUCAAUGGGCGAGAGCCUGAACCAGCCAAGUCGCGUGAGGGAUGACUGCCCUAUGGGUUGUAAACCUCUUUUGUAUGGGGGGAAUAAGCUUUACGAGUAGAGUGAUGACAGUACCAUACGAAUAAGCCACGGCUAACUACGUGCCAGCAGCCGCGGUAAUACGUAGGUGGCAAGCGUUGUCCGGAUUUACUGGGUGUAAAGGGCGUGCAGCCGGGAAGACAAGUCAGAUGUGAAAUCCCGCGGCUCAACCGCGGAACUGCAUUUGAAACUGUUUUUCUUGAGUACCGGAGAGGUCAUCGGAAUUCCUUGUGUAGCGGUGAAAUGCGUAGAUAUAAGGAGGAACACCAGUGGCGAAGGCGGAUGACUGGACGGCAACUGACGGUGAGGCGCGAAAGCGUGGGGAGCAAACAGGAUUAGAUACCCCCGUAA
rnacentral:rRNA from 1 species